UCGAAUAAACUAGGUGGGUUGUUGCUGUCCCUCUCGGGGGAAUUGUGCACACCUUUACCUUUUUUGUUUUUCCACCUGUGCACACACUGUAGGUCUGAAGGGAGGGGGAAGGGGGGGGAAGUAACACUCUCCCCCUGAAACACUUUCAGGUCCUAUGUAUUUUACACAUACACUAUUAAAAGUAACAGAACGAUUCAAUGGGCUUCCAAGCCUAUAAACUAUAUA
rnacentral:misc_RNA from 1 species